UACGUAGGGACCAAGCGUUGUCCGGAAUCAUUGGGCGUAAAGAGCGUGUAGGCGGCUUGUUAAGUCUUGCGUGAAAUCUCGGGGCUCAACCCCGAGCGGUCGUGAGAAACUGGCAGGCUAGAGUGCGGGAGAGGAGAGUGGAAUUCCUGGUGUAGCGGUGAAAUGCGCAGAUAUCAGGAAGAACACCCGUGGCGAAGGCGGCUCACUGGCCCGAUACUGACGCUGAGGUGCGAAAGCGUGGGGAGCAAACAGG
rnacentral:rRNA from 1 species